AGUGAACGCUGGCGGUAGGCCUAACACAUGCAAGUCGAACGGCAGCACAGCAAGAGCUUGCUCUUACGGGUGGCGAGUGGCGGACGGGUGAGGAAUACAUCGGAAUCUACUUUUUCGUGGGGGAUAACGUAGGGAAACUUACGCUCAUACCGCAUACGACCUACGGGUGAAAGCAGGGGAUCUUCGGACCUUGCGCGAUUGAAUGAGCCGAUGUCGGAUUAGCUAGUUGGCGGGGUAAAGGCCCACCAAGGCGACGAUCCGUAGCUGGUCUGAGAGGAUGAUCAGCCACACUGGAACUGAGACACGGUCCAGACUCCUACGGGAGGCAGCAGUGGGGAAUAUUGGACAAUGGGCGCAAGCCUGAUCCAGCCAUACCGCGUGGGUGAAGAAGGCCUUCGGGUUGUAAAGCCCUUUUGUUGGGAAAGAAAAGCAGCAGGUUAAUACCCCGCUGUUCUGACGGUACCCAAAGAAUAAGCACCGGCUAACUUCGUG
rnacentral:rRNA from 1 species